AUUCUGCAGAUGAUGAUGAAAUUGUGUAAAUGGGUAAUUUGCAUCUGAAUUUCAUUGAUGUUAAUAUCACCUUAGAGAACUGAUGCCCCUA